AGUGGGAUAGCUGGGUCAAAUGGUGGUUCCAAUCCCGGUUUUCUAAGGAAUCUCCAUACUGCUUUCCAGAGUGGUUGCACCAAUUUUCAGUCCCACCAGCAAU
rnacentral:pre_miRNA from 1 species